GCGCCGUUAGCUCAGCUUGAUAGAGCGUCUGGCUACGGACCAGAAGGCCGGGGGUUCGAAUCCCUCACGGCGUGCCA
rnacentral:tRNA from 1 species